AAGUCGUAACAAGGUUUCCGUAGGUGAACCUGCGGAAGGAUCAUUACCUAGAGUUUGUGGGCUUUGCCCGCUACCUCUUACCCAUGUCUUUUGAGUACUUACGUUUCCUCGGCGGGCUUGCCUGCCGGUUGGACAAUAUCAAACCUUUUUGUAGUUGCAAUCAGCGUCAGAAAACAAAUAAUAAUUACAACUUUCAACAACGGAUCUCUUGGUUCUG
rnacentral:misc_RNA from 1 species